ACUGUUAUCAGGUUUCGAUUUAGCCAUGCGAGGUGAGAGGGUUUAGACCCUCGCCGAACUGCUCAGUAACACGUAGUUAACUUACUCUUAGGUGGGGUAUAAACUUGCGAAAGUGAGGCCAAUACCCCAUAGUUGUUAGAUGCUGGAAUGCGCUAACAAUCAAAGCUCCGGCGCCUAAGAAUAGGGCUGCGGCGUAUCAGGCGGUUGUGAGUUUAAAAUACUCACAAACCUAUAACGCGUAGGGGCCAUGAGAGUGGGAGCCCCGAGAUGCCUUCUGAGACAUGAAGGCAGGUCCUACGGGACGCAGCAGGCGCGAAAACUUUCCAAUUCAUUAACGUGUGAGAAGGGAAGCCUGAGUGCUUAUGCAAUGCAUAAGCUUUUCUUUAGCCUAAAAAGCUAGAGGAAUAAGUGGUGGGUAAGACAGGUGCCAGCCGCCGCGGUAAUACCUGCGCCACAAAUAGUGAUCACGAUUAUUGGGUCUAAAGCGUCCGUAGCCGGUCUAGCAAGUUCCUGGUGAAAUCUGGCAGCAAACUGUCAGGCAUGCUGGGAAUACUACUAGACUUGAGAUUGGGAGAGGUCAGAGGUAGUCCAUGGGUAGGGGUUAAAUCCUUUAAUCCAUGGAGGACCACCGGUGGCGAAGGCGUCUGACUGGAACAAGUCUGACGGUGAGGGACGAAAGC
rnacentral:rRNA from 1 species